rnacentral:rRNA from 1 species
GACGAACGCUGGCGGCGUGCUUAACACAUGCAAGUCGAACGGAAAGGCCCUGCUUUUGUGGGGUGCUCGAGUGGCGAACGGGUGAGUAACACGUGAGUAACCUGCCCUUGACUUUGGGAUAACUUCAGGAAACUGGGGCUAAUACCGGAUAGGAGCUCCUGCUGCAUGGUGGGGGUUGGAAAGAUUCGGCGGUUGGGGAUGGACUCGCGGCUUAUCAGCUUGUUGGUGGGGUAGUGGCUUACCAAGGCUUUGACGGGUAGCCGGCCUGAGAGGGUGACCGGCCACAUUGGGACUGAGAUACGGCGCAGACUGCUACGGGAGGCAGCAGUGGGGAAUAUUGCACAAUGGGCGGAAGCCUGAUGCAGCAACGCCGCGUGCGGGAUGACGGCCUUCGGGUUGUAAACCGCUUUCGCCUGUGACGAAGCGUGAGUGACGGUAAUGGGUAAAGAAGCACCGGCUAACUACGUG